CAAUAGCGUGUAUUUAAGUUGCUGCAGUUAGAAAGCUCGUAGUUGGAUUUCGGGUGGGAAUGGCCGGUCCGCCGUUUCGGUGUGCACUUGCUACGCCCACCUUGCUGCCGGGGACGUGCUCUUGAGUUCACGCUCGGGACACGGAGUCGGCGAGGUUACUUUGAGUAAAUUAGAGUGUUCAAAGCAGGCCUACGCUCUGAAUACAUUAGCAUGGAAUAACACGAUAGGACUCUGGCCUAUCUUGUUGGUCUGUAGGACCGGAGUAAUGAUUAAGAGGGACAGUCGGGGGCAUUCGUAUUUCAUUGUCAGAGGUGAAAUUCUUGGAUUUAUGAAAGACGAACUACUGCGAAAGCAUUUGCCAAGGAUGUUUUCAUUAA
rnacentral:rRNA from 1 species